CAACAUAUGGAAAGUCCCAGGCUGGGGGUUGAAUUGGAAUUGCAGCUGCCACAGCAAUGCCAGGUCCUAGCUGCUUCUGUGACCUACACCACAGCGCAUGGCAAUGCUGGAUCCUUAACCCACUGAGCAAGGCCAUGGAUCAAACCCACACUCCAGUGGAUACCAGUCGGAUUCUUAAUACACUGAGCCACAAUAGGAACUCCUACACAAGGAAUGUCAUUGACUAUAUUAUGUUAGAGCAACACCACCAGGUACCUUGCAGCUGUAUAAGAAAAUGAGGAAGAUCUCUAUGAACUGAGUUGGAAUGGUUUUCAGAAAAAUUUGUUAAAUAAGGAAGCAAAUUACAAGAGUAUUAAUAGUAGCUACCAUUCUUAUAAGGAAGAAAAACAUAUAAGAAAAUAAACAGGUAUCUGCUCAUUUACAUAUCUGCAAAAGAAAUAUAGAAAGGUAAACCAGAAGCAGGGGAUAGGGUAGUAAGGAUGUAAUGGGAACACACUUCUCCAAGUAUAACUUUCUUUAUCCUUCUGCUUUUUAGAACUAUACCAAUUUUCAUAGCCCCUGCAAAAUUAAUGACAUACAAUUUUUAAAAUUAAUUUAAAAAUAAUCUAGGAUAUAGGUAAACAUAUGAGUAACAAAUCAACCUAGUUAUGUUAUAAAUGCAUAACACAACCACAUUGAAUGGAAUGGAGAAGAAAAUAAAGAACAAAAAUAGUUUUGGAAAAAAAAAUUGAGACACCAUGAGGCAAAAAUAAUUGUAUGCAAUUAUUUCACACUGUUUAGUAAAUCAGUUUCCCAUAGGGGUAAGGGUAUCAACUUUGUAAAAUUUGAUUUGUGUACCAGGACUGAACAAGUAAAUAAAUACAUUGUAGAUAAUGAGAGCCAAAUUUUUCACUGUUAGAGAAAAAUUCACAGUGAAAGUGGGAGGCUAGAGUGAUCUCUGUUGUAUUAGAUUAGAAUCAGAGAUUAACUCUAAUUGUGUUAACUCAAAAUUGUUCAUAUAUUUAUAGGCAGAUAGAUGUAGAAAUAAACAUGGAAGAAUGUCUCUGCAUGGAUUAGUAUAUAUACAUAUAUUCCCUAACAUUGUCCACUGAAAGGAACUAGAAGUAAUAACACCCCAUCAGCAAUAAGCCAACCUGGCACCUGGAUUUUGGUUUCUAAAUCCAUUCUCCAAUAAAAGGAACAAGAACUGCUUAGACAAGUGGCUUAUUUUCAGGGCUGAACAGGAAAAACACCAGGUGAGUCUGGAACACUUUGUGUUGCCAAAAAAUAAGAAAGCCCUCAAAAAAGGAUGAGGCAUAUUGAAUAGACACUAAGCCAGCCUGAAAAAAAUCCCCAAUAAGCAAUGCUGGAAUAAUGUGAACAAACUACAUAAUGACAGUAUUGAGUCAUAACUCCUAAAGUAAAUAAAUCCCCAUGACCACACUAAUAGAAUUGAAUACACAAAUGAAUGGGGGUGAAGGGACUUCUCUUCUUUUGAAGAAUUCUAAUUAAUAAAACUUAGAAGGAAUGAGGGGCAUACAAAAUCACGCUAGACAAACAAGGGUAACAAUUGUCAUAGACAAGAUCUAUGAAUGAAUGAAUGUUAUAAUCUUAAAAUCAGUGGGCAAAAGAUUGAAGAAAAACAGGAUAUUUGCUUUGUAUGAAUGUUAUUGCUUCCUAUAUAUAUGUGUACACACACACACAGACACACACACACACACAUAAUGAAGGGAAACAUAGUAACCUUACAUUGCAAAAACCUAGCAGACAUCACCCUCUUAAGUGAUUCAGGUUAACAUCGUGGGUCAUAAGACAUAUUGACAUCAUGUGCCCCCUGAUAUAAUGCACUGAGUAGGGUGUAUCACUUCCUUCAACCCCAAAAGCAUAACCCCAUUGUACUCAUGAGAAAACACCAGACAAACUCAAAAUGAAGGAUAUUCUACAAAAUAACUGAGGAGUCCUCUUCAAAGUCAUAAAAAAUUUAAGACUGAGGAACUACAAAAUAUGGAGGAGACAAAGAGACUUAAGCCAAGAAAGGUCAUGUGCGAUCCAGAAUUUGAUGUUAAUUUCCCAGUUUUUAUAAUUAUACCAUAGUUACAUAAAUUGUUAACAUUAAACGAAACUGAGAGAAGAAUUUAUACAUGUACCCUUUGCAUUACUUUUGCAGCUUUUCUGUAGGUCUAAAAUUAUUUGAAAAUAAACAGUUAAAAAAAGAAAUCAUUGUCGUUUAAAAGUCAGGAUUUUACUUUUAACUUGACAUUGUGAUCUGGGCUCCAGUUCUAGCAUUGAUGCUAAAAUAUGUGACUUGAGUGUGUCAUUUAGCAUUCCUGGGCUUCAGUCAUUCAUUUAUUUAUUCAGUAUACAUUUAUAAUAUAAUUGAAUAAUAUAUCCCCUAAUUAUUUUUCUACUUUAAUAUUCUAUUGUCUGGGAAAAACUGAAAUGCAGUGCAGGAAAACUUAUUUGUAAUCUCAGUUUCUCUUAAUAUGAUAGUCAUACUACUUUAAAUAUUUGAUUCAAAUUAUUCAAAUGAGCACUUUUCAAAAAAAAAUUUGUUUUGCUACUAAAUUUGGUGCUCUUUUUUUUUCUUUAUUAUGUACUAUAGAGAAAAACAGGGCAGCAGAGAGGAUCAACUACUGUUUGAGAUCAUAUAUCACGUCACUGUAAAUAUAUUAUUGUUCUAAAAGAUUGGUUUAAUGCUUAAAAAGAUCAACCAGCCUUUCAUUGAAUGCCAGCUCUGAAAGGCCUAAUAGAAGAUAGUGGGAACAGAGAAAUGAAUAAGAAAUCUCUCUGGCUGUAAGGAGCUGACAAUCUAGCCUGAGAGCAGAUAUGUAUGUAAAUGAGUAUCUGUAAAGCAAGGGGAAAAGCAUUGUGAUAGAGAUAGCAACAUUCCAGGGAAGAACAACUGAACCCUGCCUGGGGAAGUAAGUGAAGAUUUUUCAAAGGAGAUGUCAGAAUACUGGAAGACCAGCAGACAAUUUUCAGGUAGAAAAGAAGGGAAGAAUUUUUCAUGAGGUGGGAGAGUAUGACAAACGUAUGGUGCUAUGAAAACUUGAGUGAGAGUUCCACACCAACUGAAUCAGAUGCUGAAUCAGAUGCUGAAGCAAAGGCUUUAAGGGCUAAGCUGAAAUGGAAAGGAUGGGCAAGCUUAGCACCCUUUCUGUAAUUCUCAUCCUCUUUACCAUUGCUUUCUCUCUUGCUUGCCUGCUCUUUUUCUAUUAUGCUACAAUGCAUCAAAAAAAAAAAAAAAAAAAAAAAAAAGAAUAGAAAAACAAAACAAAACAAAAAAAGCCCCAAACUGACAGACAAAAAAUAAAACCGGACUUGUCCCAGGAGUUUUGCCUUAACCCUGCAGGCAAAAACAAGCCAAAGGUUUGUGUUUACACUAAUAUCAAAUUUUAUUCUGUAAACAUUUCUGAGAAAAGGAGCCUCUCUCUACAAAACUCUGGAUAGAUAUUAGUAAGCAGUCUUCACCUUGGAGGUAUUUAAACAGGGGAGAAGCACAAUCAAAAUAUUUUUUAUAAAAAAUACACUUUCAGAGAUAACUUCUCCCUGUAUAUAACCCCAACCAAUUCAUAUCCCUUUUAUCAUCAACGAGAACCUAUUAGCUGACUUGCUGUUGGGGGCAAGGCACUGGGCAGCUUGGUGGGCAUCACAGCUCCCUGAAGUCAUUCAUCAAACGAAAAUCAUCAGAGUUCAUUUGGAAGCAGGAAGGCUGAGGUAGGCAGACCCUUCACACUGCCGCCUCUGGAGCAAAAAACAGAGUGUGCUUGCCCAAUUCCCAUUCUCUCCAAGUAAGUAUUUUUUAUCCUGCUUUUCCUCAACUGUUCAUAUAUUAUGCUAAAAUAGCUUUUGCAUUUUUUAAAAAAGAUGUACAUUGAUGUAUAUGUUUAACUAUCAAUCAAAAAUGCAUAAUCACUAAACUAUGUAAUACUAAAUCCAGCUCAAGAUUUGAAGCUCAAUUAAAUAAUUUUAGUAUAUGAAGCUGCAGUGACACUUAAAAAUAAGCAUUUUGAGGAGUUCUUGCUUUUGAAUAAAUCUACCAUAUAAGUAGAGAGGGAAAAUUUCACUUCUUGGUUCAACUGAUGAUGCUUAAAGUACUAAAAACCCCAUUUUCAGGGGAUGCUUUACCAAAUAUGAACUUGGUCAUACCAUUAAAUACACAUAGUUUAAGAACUAAAACAUAACUCACAAAUUAUUCUACAUUUGCAUAUUACUGCAACUGCAUUUAGACAGAAAAUGUCUUCAAUAGCCAAAAUCAGAUAAAACAACUUGUAUAGUUUUUGAAAAUCACUGCAGCCAUCAUGAAGGAGGUAAAAGUGUGAUUUUGGUUAUGAUAUAGAAAUUUCUCAUUAUUCCAGUUAGUUCUCACUAAAGUUAUUAUCAUUAUUGUUAUUGUUAUUUUUCUUGUAGCAAGUGAGAUUUCUGAAGAACAUCAUUCCCUGCACCGAUACCAUACGAACUAUAUUAAGCAUUUUAAAUAUAUAAAUGUGAGAGUCCGGGAUGGUAAGGUAAUGAGAAAGUUCAAAUGGUGAUUUUUUUUAUAGAUGUUUAAAACUACAGACCUGCAUUUCUCUGUUUGUUUGUUUGUUUAUUUUACCUUUUUUCUGAAAUAAAAAUUUCAAAAAUUUUAUCUUCCAACAUUUUUUGAAAGCCUGACUUGAUUAUUAAUUAGAAUAUUCAUUUAUUUUAAAUUCAUUACUGUCAAUGUUUUAUCAUGACUACCAGCAUU
rnacentral:lncRNA from 1 species